UUUAAAAUGGCAGAUUAGUGCAAUAGAUUUAAAUUCUAUAAAUAUAGACAUUUCUAUUUUUAAAA
rnacentral:tRNA from 1 species